GAUGAACGCUGACAGAAUGCUUAACACAUGCAAGUCAACUGUGGCGGACGGGUGAGUAACGCGUAAAGAACUUGCCUCACAGCUAGGGACAACAUUUGGAAACGAAUGCUAAUACCUGAUACUGUGAGAGAGCUUUGGGUCCCAUGAGCUAGUUGGAGAGGUACCGGCUCACCAAGGCUAUGAUGGGUAGCCGGCCUGAGAGGGUGAUCGGCCACACGGGGACGGAGCUACGGCCAUUACUCCUACGGGAGGCAGCAGUGGGGAUUAUUGGACAAGGGACCAAAGUCUGAUCCAGCAAUUCUGUGUGUACGAUGAAGUUUUCGUAAUGUAAAGUGCUUUCAGUUGGGAAGCGGUACCAACAGAAGAAGUGACGGCUAAAUACGUGCAAGCAGCCGCGGUAAUAC
rnacentral:rRNA from 1 species